AGUGGUGUAGCUCAGUGAUAGAGCACAUAUUUAGCAUUCUUGAGGCCCUGGAUUCAAUCCCCAGCACCAGGA
rnacentral:tRNA from 1 species